rnacentral:lncRNA from 1 species
AGGGCGACUGGGAGGCAGCGUGCCCCCCCACCACCCCAGCUACAGAACUCUGGAUCACGAAUGUGCUGAGGCCUCAAACUCAGGAAGGGGGGGGGACUUGGGAUGUUUCCUCGGCAAGAGGCUGCCGCGUGGAAAGGAGAAACGGGGGCUCCACAAGGCC